UGUGACAGAAUAGUGUGAUAAAUUUAAGAUUUAUUUAU
rnacentral:tRNA from 1 species